UAGUUGGUAAGGUAACGGCUUACCAAGCCGACGAUCAGUAGCCGGCCUGAGAGGGUGGACGGCCACAUUGGGACUGAGACACGGCCCAGACUCCUACGGGAGGCAGCAGUGGGGAAUAUUGCACAAUGGGGGAAACCCUGAUGCAGCGACGCCGCGUGAAGGAAGAAGUAUUUCGGUAUGUAAAGCUCUAUCAGCAGGGAAGAUCAUGACGGUACCUGACUAAGAAGCCCCGGCUAACUAC
rnacentral:rRNA from 1 species